rnacentral:rRNA from 1 species
CCUACGGGGGGCUGCAGUGGGGAAUAUUGGACAAUGGGGGGAACCCUGAUCCAGCCAUGCCGCGUGUGUGAAGAAGGCCCUCGGGUUGUAAAGCACUUUCAGUGAGGAAGAACGCCUGGUGGUUAAUACCCAUCAGGAAAGACAUCACUCACAGAAGAAGCACCGGCUAACUCCGAGCCAGCAGCCGCGGUAAUACGGAGGGUGCGAGCGUUAAUCGGAAUUACUGGGCGUAAAGCGCGCGUAGGUGGCUUGAUAAGCCGGUUGUGAAAGCCCCGGGCUCAACCUGGGAACGGCAUCCGGAACUGUCAAGCUAGAGUGCAGGAGAGGAAGGUAGAAUUCCCGGUGUAGCGGUGAAAUGCGUAGAGAUCGGGAGGAAUACCAGUGGCGAAGGCGGCCUUCUGGACUGACACUGACACUGAGGUGCGAAAGCGUGGGUAGCAAACAGGAUUAGAUACCCGGGUAGUC